rnacentral:tRNA from 1 species
GGGGCCUUAGCUCAGUUGGCUAGAGCGCCUGCUUUGCACGCAGGAGGUCAAGGGUUCGACUCCCUUAGGCUCCACCA